AUAUAUAAAGCUCCUAAAAGGUGGAAGCCCCAAGGGCCAAGCCACUAACAGGUUCAAGGUAUAAAGAGAACCAGACUGACUCUGAUUUCGGCACCCCAUUCCUAUUACGAAAUCAAAUUAUAAGCUACUGGUCAACAAACGCUAUCACAAGGAUAACUACAUGAAUUUUUGGAAAACUUCAGCGUGGUCUUCUUGUCACUCUCUCUAGGAAUGGGAAGGGAAAGUCCUGCGCAUUGCAUAUGAGGGCAGCUUGGAAAGAGGAUUUCAGCGCUUCUACAGCCUACUCUAUCAACUUGUUCACAUUCCUAAGCAAAUUGUUAAGGAGCAUUAGAUGCUCCGAUGGCCAGAAUCUUUGGUGCUCUCUAUAGCUACCGCAACUAUGGCGAUGCGUCGGUGCCCCAGAUAUCAGAGCUGGUCUUCUUAUUUUGCAUGAUCGUUUGCAUCCCUUUCAGUCAUAUCCAUGGUCAUCGUUGCUUGCGGGCAGCAUCCAGAAAGGGCUGACAGUGGAAGCAACAACGUUGUGUAUUAUGGGAGUGACUCCCGGAACCCUAAUGCAAAGAGCAGUGGAGAUGGUGGUGGCGGUUGCGGUGGCUGCGGUGGUGGUUGUGGUGGCUGUGGAGGUGGUUGUGGCGGAUGAUGUGUUAAAUCCAUGCAUAUUCAUGACGGGCCGGAGGCUGGGCCACCUGAUUUAUCAAGAAGGCUAAAAAUAUGUACAAAGUGGAAGAGCUUGUAGAAUAUACAUAGGAGAAAAAGCUUCAGAAAAUCAGCUUACGUUGAAGCAAAGAAAAGAAGAAAGAAAGUGCAGUUUUCAGCCCAAACAAGUAAAAAACACAGUUGAAGAAGCAGCUGAAGGAGAUCGCAAAAGAACAGCUGAUUGGCCUGCAGCAGAAGAAGGUGAAACAUCGAAGAAAACAGGAGGAGACUACCAGCACAGCAGGGUCUAUUGAGCCGUCAGCUGCAUAAUUUGUUGUUUUGGUUUAUUGAAAGAUUUCGUUUGGGACUGGGAAAAUGAGAAUACCAUUCUAUUGGAUCAUGAGUGGGUGUAUUUUUUUUUCUCCUCAGAUGGUUGUUGACAUCAUUUUCCAUGUAGUUUUGGAAUCUCUUUAUGCAAUGAGCCAGUGGAAUUUCUUUUGCA